AUGUGCGCGUCGCACGGAGCAGACCAUCACGAUGGUGGCAGCAUCUCAGGUCCCAGAUCUGCACUGUGGUCCAUCCAGGUCGCCUGCACUGCAGAGAGCUGGCCCAGGAGAACUUGGAGGCAGAGCCCGUGCCACUUCUCCUGGUUGCCACCUUGGGCUCCGGUUCUUAUGAGGGCAAUUAAACAGCUGGAGUGUUCCCAGAAGAAAUGGCCAGGACAGUGGAUGUGUGAGGCUGUGAGGCAAGUAUGGAAUAGAUGGUGUUCACUCAAUGCCCACCGUACAAGGAAGAAAUGGCAAACUUCGAGCAUAUACGCAGUGUUUUCCUCAGUGCUGCUCUCUCCACGCCUUUGUAUCAGACAACUCCUGUGCCAGGAUCUACCUGCUCAGCACUCAUGA
rnacentral:lncRNA from 1 species